rnacentral:ncRNA from 1 species
AACAGAUGUGCUGCCUAGGGAAACUUACCAAGUCCAAACAUGGUGGUGCAUGGCUGUUCUUAGUUGGUGGAUUGAUUUGUUUGGUUAAUUUCGAUAAUGAAUGAGACCUCAACUUUACAUGGAGGCUUGCUUCCAUGGCCAGCUUUUUAGAGGGACUUUUCGCUUCCAAUGGAAGGAAGUUUGAGGCAAUAACAAGUUUAUGAUGCCUUUAGAUGUUCUGGGAAGCAUGCACACUACACUAAUGGACUCAAUGAGUGUGUGCUUGGGCUGAAAGGCUUGGGUAAUCUUGUGAAAAUUCAUCAUUAUGGGGAUCAUUGCAAUUAUUGAUCUUUAACAAGGAAUUCUUAGUAAGUGUGAGUCAUUAGCUUGCGCUGACUACAUCC